UUUGCCAGCAUGUGAUGUGGGACAUUUGUAAACAGCGAAACCGCCACGUUUGUUUAUCAGGUACCUCGGCCUCGUUGGCCCAGGUCACAGGCCAACGUCGUUCAACCCACAGGUCCCUAUAUUUCUUACCCAUUUAUUACAGCAGCGAUUAUACAGCUAGUGUCAAAGAAACAACAUUUCCUCGUUCCACAAUUUGUAACACCUUUAUCCUGACCCAGUACGAUAAAGGGAUACUUACAAGCGACUACAAGCUGAAGAACUGUGUGUAGCUGUCUCACUAAGAAGCUUUCCAGAUUAGCAAACAAAUACAAAUUAUUCAUAACACGUUAAUCGGAGAGUUCCAUGAAUAGCGGGUCACUACUGGUAGAGCUUGUUCAGAUCAUCUUUAAAUUUGGCCUUCAGCUGCUCCCUCUUCAGCUUAAGCGCAGCGGUCACAAGCCCAGACUCUGGGGUCCAAGGUUCAGGCAGCAAAAUGAUCCUAGCUGGUAUUUCAAACUUCUCGAG
rnacentral:lncRNA from 1 species